rnacentral:rRNA from 1 species
GACGAACGCUGGCGGCGUGCUUAACACAUGCAAGUCGAACGGAAAGGCCCUGCUUUUGUGGGGUGCUCGAGUGGCGAACGGGUGGGUAACACGUGAGUAACCUGCCCUUGACUUUGGGAUAACUUCAGGAAACUGGGGCUAAUACCGGAUAGGAGCUCCUACUGCAUGGUGGGGGUUGGAAAGUUUCGGCGGUUGGGGAUGGACUCGCGGCUUAUCAGCUUGUUGGUGGGGUAGUGGCUUACCAAGGCUUUGACGGGUAGCCGGCCUGAGAGGGUGACCGGCCACAUUGGGACUGAGAUACGGCCCAGACUCCUACGGGAGGCAGCAGUGGGGAAUAUUGCACAAUGGGCGGAAGCCUGAUGCAGCAACGCCGCGUGCGGGAUGACGGCCUUCGGGUUGUAAACCGCUUUCGCCUGUGACGAAGCGUGAGUGACGGUAAUGGGUAAAGAAGCACCGGCUAACUACGUG